rnacentral:rRNA from 1 species
UGGGGAAUAUGCACAAUGGGCGCAAGCCUGAUGCAGCCAUGCCGCGUGUGUGAAGAGGCCUUCGGGUUGUAAAGCACUUUCAGCGAGGAGGAAGGUGGUGAACUUAAUACGUUCAUCAAUUGACGUUACUCGCAGAAGAAGCACCGGCUAACUCCGUGCCAGCAGCCGCGGUAAUACGGAGGGUGCAAGCGUUAAUCGGAAUUACUGGGCGUAAAGCGCACGCAGGCGGUUUGUUAAGUCAGAUGUGAAAUCCCCGGGCUAACCUGGGAACUGCAUUUGAAACUGGCAAGCUAGAGUCUCGUAGAGGGGGGUAGAAUUCCAGGUGUAGCGGUGAAAUGCGUAGAGAUCUGGAGGAUACCGGUGGCGAAGGCGGCCCCUGACGAAGACUGACGCUCAGGUG